rnacentral:rRNA from 1 species
UACGUAGGGGGCAAGCGUUGUCCGGAAUCAUUGGGCGUAAAGCGCGCGUAGGCGGCUUGGUAAGUCCGCUCUGAAAGCCCGGGGCUCAACCCCGGGAGGCGGGUGGAUACUGUCAAGCUCGAGUCCGGAAGAGGCGAGUGGAAUUCCUGGUGUAGCGGUGAAAUGCGUAGAUAUCUGGAGGAACACCGGUGGCGAAGGCGGCAUCCUGGACCGGGAUUGACACUGAGGCGCGAAAGCCAGGGGAGCAAACGGG